AAGGUCCCUGAAGGAACGUUUAAGACUAAGACGUUGAUAGGCUGGGUGUGUAAGUGCAGCGAUGCAUUGAGCUAACCAGUACUAAUGAUCCGUGAGGCUUAACCUU
rnacentral:rRNA from 1 species